CUUUUCACAAGCUCCCAGAUGAUGUCCAUGUUGCUAGUCCACAGACCACACUUUGAAUAGCAAGGGAAUAAGGAAUCUAACUCUAGAGUUCAAAUGUAUGUGGGGUGAAGGUUUUGGGUACAAUGUAUGCUAUGUAUAUUCAUUUGGAGUCUAAAUCAUUCACUGGUGCUCAUGGGGGAUGACGAUGUAUGGGAUUUCUAGAGUCCAGACUCAGUAAAGGAGCUACAAAGACUUGGGAAAAAGGUCAAAUUCCCUAGUGGACAUGCUGGGAUCAGCUGAGAGAAACUUGAUAGAGGACAUUGGCUCCACCUACCCAGGAAUAAGAGUAGGUUAGCCAGCCCUGAGUCAGGGGAAGAGGAGCACCACAGAACUAAGCCUCAUACAGUGGAGGGGCUGAGAGCAUGGACUCAGCUGCCAGGGAAACUGGACAGGAAUCUUGGCUCCAUAAUUCUGAGCCUCUGUUUUUUCUUCUGUAAAAACUUACAUUAUGGGCUUGUUGAAAGCACUAAAUAAGAUAGUCCAUGUGUUCUGGGUUCUGGUCCCUGAAAAACAGACUCUGAGAUGAUGAUCUUUAUGGAAGUGGUUUAUUACACAGUGCCCCCUGGCAAAAUCCAUAGGGGAGAAGGGAAGUGGGACAUAGAAAGGGAAGGAAGCCAAGCAAGGGUGCAAUAUGAAGCAAAGUUCUGUGAGUGUAACUUUAGCUCAGUCAUGCAAGGAAACACUGGAGAGUAAAUCACAAAACUAGGGUUAUCCCAAACUAGAAGCAGGGUAGCUGGAUUAUUUAUACCCUCACACGCAUCAGUCAUUAAGGGAUACUCCCUGAGGGAUGUAAAUUCCUAAGCUCUUGCAGCUGUCUGCAUACACAAGAAAAGCUGAAGUUCUGGAUCUUGAGGGAAGUCCUCGGACAGAGUUGGGGACUGACUGUCCUGAAAAGAAGCACAUCUGAAACUGUAUGCACGACUGGUAACUGGCAAAGGAUUGAGGGCAUGUGAGAGGUGCUCUGAGAGUAUCUGCUAAAUUAUGGAAAGAGUUUUAGCAUGAUCUGUGCCAAUCCUAACCCACUGGUAAAAUCUCCCUUUAUUAUAUACAGUGUAUACAUAAACAUUAUCUAUGAAGACAAAAAAGGACAAGAAGAGCAGGUAUCUAUCUCAUGGCACACUGGACAGUGGGACUAGAAGAAGCAGAUUAUUCUGGGGGUCGACUUUGCAAAUGCAACACAUUAUUAGGGAAACUGGGAUCCAGUUACUGAGUGGCCUAAAUGACCAGAAAUCCCAAAGAUCCACCUAUUACUGUUGACAGAGAAGAAAAGUCAUGAAAGUUCCUUUCAGUCCUGUGACUGCUGGGCACUGAUUCUGCAUUCAAGAUGUGUUUCUAGAUGUGAGUGGCCAUACUUUAUUGCUUGUGGCUUAUGGAAUGGAUAACCUCCGUGGGCUCCAUUUCCUAAUCUUUAAGGUAAGAGGUCCUCUAGUUCUAAAAUUUUACGAAUUGACAAACCGCUAACUACAAGAUGAACACUCCAUAAAUACUAAGCCACAUUCUCCACAGUCACACAUCCCCAAAGUGAGGUAAAUUUCUUUUUCCAUAAAAAGGUGCCAGAGAUAGUGUAUCUUUGUUUCCAGCAUCUGUCCUGUGCAGGUGUACACGGUUCUCACCCAACUGGCUUCUAGUAAUCCUUGUAGUUGCCUCUUGUAUCCAUGUGUCAUAUGCCUCCUGUGACUGAUUAGUUAAUCUGUCUUUCUCUGUCUCACAUACUCUAUAAAUACACAAAAAGACAUAUAUAUGUACACAUAUGUACAUGUAUAUAAUUUUUUGGGCAUAAAAAGCAGCCGAAGUAUCCUCUUACUCUGAUUUUAGAGAUUAUAACUUUUAGGCUGAUUGGGGUGGGAUGGGAGGCAAAAAAAAUUGCUCAGGCAGGAUUCCGAUGCUACUAAUUACUCACCAAAAUAUGGAUAAGACCAUUUUUGUAAGCAAUGAAUUGGCUCAUUUAAAAUUCCUUUGUUUUCAUUUUUAGAAGAAAGAAAGAGGAAGAAGGAAGAAAGUCAAAAGGAUGAAACAACAAAAGGAGCUCCCCACAGAAAGACAGACUCUUUCGCCAGCACAUUUAAGAAUCUAAAUGAGGCCAAGUGCCAAGCAGAUAAAGGGACUCUACUUGCUGCACAGUAAAUAAAACGGAGGCAGGAGGACACCUGCAUCAAACAAUACUUUCUGAGGGGAUGACAACAAGAUUUCAGAGAAUUCAGAUCCUGACUUUCCUGCCUCACCAGGUACAACCCAAGUCACCAGAGCUCAUAAAAGAUGUGUGUGCUGUCGCAUCUAUGUGAAGUAUUUCCAUGACCCGAGCAUUGACCACAGGACUGUGCUGGAGGAAACUGGAUCAAGGUACCAAGACAGAUACAGGAGGGUCUCCAGAAACCCUAGAGCUGAAUGGAACCCGUCUGGAAAACAUACACUGGAAACUAGGCCGAGGAUUAUCCAAAGGGUGGUUGAAAUCAAGGGUUAAAGUUUGGCUCAAGAUAAGGAAGAAUCUUCUAAUAAUUAAAACUGACCAUCCAAAAGGUAAUGGGAUGCUCUGUGGUAUAGUUAGUGAUUUCUGUGUCUUUGAAAUAAUCAAGUGGUAGCUAGAAGACCACUGUCAGGAAUGCAAUAAAAGUAUUUCCUGCACUAAGAAAGAAAACAAAGAUGACAUUACCUCAAGUUGCUUUACAACUCUCAGGUUCUUUGAGUCUUUGACAUGCUCAAAAUUAUAUUUUGAGAGAGCUUGGCCUAUCUCCUGAAACAUUCUGCUUCAACUUGAGCAUCUCUCUCUCUCUUUUUCCCUGUUCAAUUUCUUUAUACUUCUGUAUUAAUAUUUUUUGUUUGCUAGGGGUUUCUAUCAAAAAGAAAAACUAAUAUGUAAGAACCAUUUGUCUCCUUAAGUAAUAGCUCGUCAAUUGUUUGAAAGCAGUCAUUAUUUCCAUUCCCCAAUCCUUUAUUCUCUUCUUCAGAAUAAAUCUCCCUGGCUUUUUCAACU